GGGACCUCAAGUCGUUGUAGAGGGUGUGUGCGAUCAACAGCACAAGCUCCACUGGUGAAGCCAGCCACUUGUUCGCGGUAGUGGAACUGAAGCCGGCAACUUCCUUCUGGCUGCUCUCAUGCUCUUCUCCGGCUGCGGGGUGGCUGCAACCAUCCGAUGCCUCCAGUCCAUUGAUGUCCAGACCAUCACGGAGCGUACCUUCUACAACUUGCUCUCUGCAGUAAAACAGGAAGCAAUCAGCUCAACCCUUGCGUCGUCAACAAUCUGAUGGAUGGUCCUUCGGGGAUGGUAAAGAGUUGUUCUCGGUGGCCACGUUUUCUUUGUUUGUCGUGCGUCGUUUUGCAGCAAUAUGGGCUUCAUUUUGAAGCGCUGCGCUUCAAACUUGAGUGCUGUUGAUUUUAUGGAAUCUGUGUUAUUGUGUUUUGUUUUUAUUGGAUUUUCGCAUAUUUGUUUGUUCCUGUCUGCUUUUCCCAAACGCUGGGUAAUCAUCAAGGUUUCAAAUGGCAUCUUAUUUUGAAUAAAUCAACCAAUAAAAAUGUCAGUGUUUUCUUCAA